AUUCCAUGAUGAGGACACAUUGUUAGCAACUCUUUAAAUCUCUCUCAAGCCUCAUACAAACUCUCAUCUUCAAGUUGAUAAAAAGAAGUGAUCUUAUUCUGCAAUU
rnacentral:snoRNA from 1 species